UCCGAGUUGACCCCGGCAGUCUCCUAUGAGUCCCCGGCAUUAUCCGCUGGCAACAUAGGAUGAGGGUUGCGCUCGUUGCGGGACUUAACCCAACAUCUCACGACACGAGCUGACGACAGCCAUGCACCACCUGUGCACUGGCCCCGAAGGGCUGCCGUAUUUCUACGACAUUCCAGUGCAUGUCAAGCCUUGGUAAGGUUCUCCGCGUUGCGUCGAAUUAAACAACAUGCUCCGCUGCUUGUGCGGGUCCCCGUCAAUUCCUUUGAGUUUUAGCCUUGCGACCGUACUCCCCAGGCGGAUAACUUAAUGCGUUAGCUGCGCCACCCAAGCUCUAUGAGCCCGGACAGCUAGUUAUCAUCGUUUACGGCGUGGACUAC
rnacentral:misc_RNA from 1 species